rnacentral:rRNA from 1 species
UACGUAGGGGGCAAGCGUUGUCCGGAUUUAUUGGGCGUAAAGAGCGUGUAGGCGGCCAGGGAGGUCCGUUGUGAAAACUCGAGGCUCAACCUCGGGACGCCGAUGGAAACCCCCUGGCUAGAGUCCGGAAGAGGAGAAUGGAAUUCCUGGUGUAGCGGUGAAAUGCGCAGAUAUCAGGAAGAACACCCGUGGCUAAGGCGGUUCUCUAGUACGGUACUGACGCUGAGACGCGAAAGCGUGGGGAGCGAACAGG